rnacentral:rRNA from 1 species
AACUACCUACGGGGCGCAGCAGUGAGGAAUAUUGGUCAAUGGGCGGUAGCCUGAACCAGCCAAGUAGCGUGAAGGAUGAAGGUUCUAUGGAUUGUAAACUUCUUUUAUAUGGGAAUAAAGUUUUCCACGUGUGGAAUUUUGUAUGUACCAUAUGAAUAAGGAUCGGCUAACUCCGUGCCAGCAGCCGCGGUAAUACGGAGGAUCCGAGCGUUAUCCGGAUUUAUUGGGUUUAAAGGGAGCGUAGGUGGAUUGUUAAGUCAGUUGUGAAAGUUUGCGGCUCAACCGUAAAAUUGCAGUUGAAACUG